rnacentral:rRNA from 1 species
AGAGUUUGAUCAUGGCUCAGGAUGAAUGCUGGCGGCGUGCCUAACACAUGCAAGUCGAGCGGCAGCGAGGGGUGCUUGCACCCUGUCGGCGAGCGGCGAACGGCUGAGUAACGCGUAGGAAUUUGCCCCAAAGUGAGGAAUAACUGCCCGAAAGGGUAGCUAAUGCCGCAUAUGGUCUUCGGAUUAAAGGAUUUAUCCGCUUUGGGAGAAGCCUGCGUUGGAUUAGGUAGUUGGUAGGGUAAUGGCCUACCAAGCCGACGAUCCAUAGCUGGUCUGAGAGGAUGAUCAGCCAGACUGGAACUGAGACACGGUCCAGACUCCUACGGGAGGCAGCAGUGAGGAAUCUUCCACAAUGGGCGAAAGCCUGAUGGAGCAACGCCGCGUGAAGGAUGAAGGCCUUCGGGUUGUAAACUUCUUUUAUGAGUGAAGAAUAUGACGGUAACUCAUGAAUAAGCACCGGCUAACUACGUGCCAGCAGCCGCGGUCAUACGUAGGGUGCGAGCAUUAUCCGGAGUGACUGGGCGUAAAGAGUUGCGUAGGCGGUUUAAUAAGUGAAUAGUGAAACCUGGUGGCUCAACCAUACAGACUGUUAUUCAAACUGUUAAACUCGAGAAUGGUAGAGGUAACUGGAAUUUCUUGUGUAGGAGUGAAAUCCGUAGAUAUAAGAAGGAACACCAAUGGCGUAGGCAGGUUACUGGGCCAUUUCUGACGCUAAGGCACGAAAGCGUGGGGAGCGAACCGGAUUAGAUACCCUGGUAGUCCAA